UAUAGUUUUAAAGAUUUAGUUCAAAUAAUAUUUGAUACUUUUUGGACAGAGUUGCAGUUGUCGUUUUCAAAGUGUACUGUUUUAUAUUUUCCCAAAUCAACCGCGAAAUGGAAUAAGGAGAAUGAAAGACUUUUGUAGAUGCUCCAAAAUAACAAAAUGCAAAAAUUUAACCGAUUGAAAAAUUAGCAAAUUUGCAGAAUUACAACGUGUGAGUGUUAAAUAAUUUGCACUUUAUUGAAAAUAAACAGACUUGUGAUUGAAUAAAGUUGGUGAACAAAGUGCUCAGUGAGUUAAAAAGUGUGUGAAAUUUUAGUCACGUCGUCGGCCUGGAACUGCAUGCAGCAGAUAUGUAAAAAGUAUUCGCGGCAGCAGAAGCUUAAGCAGCGCCUGAAGCAGCAGCACAAUUUAGUGUGUUGUGUGUGAUUUGUGGAAUAGUGUUUAUAGAAGCAAGGGAAUAAAUAGAGGAGAGAAGGUGGUUCGUGUGCGUGAGUGCGUUUACUCUUGCAAUCAAAGCAGUGUUAAAGCAAAUAAAAGACAAUUGCGCCAAUGGCAAAAAGCAAAAGAAAAUAAUUGCAUUAAAAGAAUAGAAAACAUAAUUAUUGAACACAUUCAACAAAAAAACAUUCAUUUCAUAAAGUGUAAUUAAUUUGGUUUAACUCAUUAAUUAAUAUUAAAUAUAUUUGGUGAAUCGGUGAAGUAAUAGAAUUUUUACAUUUUUCGUAUACACAGGCAAGAAUAGUCACGUUGCUGGCUUUAUUAAUGUUGCUCACAAAACUUGGGAAAUUUUAUAACUUUACAAGUCUCAGUUGAAAUAAAAUAAUAAUUUCGUAGAAAUGUCCGAAAUGAAACGAGUUUCAUUUACAACUUUAAGUAGUACAACAACUGUAACCAAUUUCGGUGCUCGUGGUAAUGCCGCUACCGGUGAUUUAGGAGCCACCAGCAGUGCUACAUUAGCCACGACUGCUUCACGUUUCGGUGUUGAUUUCCUCGCUGGUCAACCAAAUCCAGAUGGGAUAAGCGCUGCAGAUGCAAACUCUGAACGCAAAAAUAAUAAAUCAAUGCGGCUUACAAUAGAAUUGUUUCCGACAGAUUCUUGCAAGUACCCUGAAUUCAAUUACUCCAGACUAUUGCAUUUAGAAAAGAAAAAGCAGAAAAAAUUAAAACAAAAAACAAAUGGUUUCACUGAUCCAUUCAACGACAAUGACGAUGAUGUAGCGAGAAUUGCGCGGGAACUAGAAAAAAAAUAUGGUACUGCGUACAGUAGCGGCCGCGGUCGUAGCAAAAAAGAUGAUCUCUGCGAUAUUGGGUUGGGAUACGACGAAUCUGAUUCGUUUAUAGAUAACACAGAAGCAUACGAUGAAAUUAUACCAGAAGAAAUGGAAACAAUCGAAGGUGGUUUCUAUAUCAAUUGUGGUCCUUUGGAAUUCCAAAAACUUCACACUGAAUCGACAACCACGAAAACAGAUGAAAUUAUUAAAAUGCCUAAUCGACCGAGAAAACGCGUAAUAUCCUCAUCUUCCUCUGACAGUUCAUCCAGCAGCGACGAAGAUGCUGAAGAAGAUGUUGAUUCAGAUGGUGAAGUGUCGAGUGCUGAUACAGUAAAGGGCAGCAAAAAUUGUAGUGCCAUAUCACAAACUGAGGAAAAACGUCCCCGCUCCAAUUCAACUGCUAAUCCGACAAAAAAACCAAAGACCAACCAGGAGAGUAACACUAAGAAGGGAAAAGUUGUUAAAAAUCCCGGAAUCGGUAGUUCGUCUACGUCGAACUCUCCCAAACCAUCGUCGGUAGGUUCAGAUUCGGAGAAAGAGCGAGGACGACAAAAAGUGGUGAAAACAACAACCAUCAAGGAUAUGCUCAAAGCAAAACGUGACAAUUUCCUUAAAAUGCAAGAAGGUGGAAAUUGUAGUCGGCAAAGCGGAAGUUCCGAAGGCAAAGCAAUUAAUGGUGAAUUAAAAGGAACCGCAAGUAAGUCAUCCGAUGAAGACGAUUCUUCAACUAGUGGCGAAUCGGAUGAAUCCAGCGAUGACAGUGACUCCAACGAUGGUGAACCCCAGGAGAAGAUAGCUAAAAAUAAUAUUGGAGAAAGCACCGAAAAAUUGCGCACCAGCGACACUAAGCUCCCAGAUAUCGAAGAUGAGAUUAUAGCGGAUGUACAGCAAUUCAAGGACAUUGUAAAAAUGAAGAAUAUGACGGGUAAACGUUUCCAGUUUGACGACUCGCUAGUCGAAGUCUUUUUAAAAAUCGAUGAGGCGUUAUUAUGCAUCGAGAAGAAUCAGAGAAAUAUGGUAUUUGCACACUUGGAAUAUCAUCUCAUACUGCCUAAAUAUUUCUUCUUGCGCAAAGCGAAACAGUUGCGAAUUAAGGAGGAGAAAAUGAAAAGCAAAAGAGCCCUCUGUAAGUUACGAAAGGCCAUUAUUGAAGCAAUGCCAGGUGUUAUUGCGAAUUUCGAAGCAGAAAUACGCAAACAAGCCGAAAUUGCCAUUAAUACGAAUGCUGAGCAUCCCCCAAAAAUGCCAAAAAAGAAAUUCCCAUGGAAUAACAACUUACGAAACUUACUCUACGACGUUUAUCAAGUUCGUUGGACUUCAUAUCCAGUGCUGGGCACACGAAAGGAGACUCUUGAGGAUUUCAUCAAUGUAUUUUUGCGAGAAAAAGUUGUGGAGCUUUGGCCAAAAGAUUGGAUGCGUCUCGAAGAACUGCAACGUGAGAUUGAAAAACGCAAGGCUGCAGCAAAGAAAGCAAAAGAGAAGAAGAAAGAAAAAGACAACGGGAGCAACUCCAAUUCGGGGAGCUCCACAGCAACAAAUCUUGCUGGUGGUUCGGGUACUUCCGGCACGAGUACACAAAACGCACCAACCAAUAACGCUUAUAUGAAGCAGUUUGAGGAAUUCGCAACAGGCAGCCGUAGCUCAUACGCGAAUUCCGACACUGAAUCCGUGGCAAGUAGCAGCGCCUCGAACAGCCUAAAACGCAAAAGUGGCAAAGGUGCUUCUAAGGCCGUAAAAUCCCAAGCACCAAGUAAUAUAACCAGUACCUACGAUAACAGCAAAAAACCACAAUUGCCACAGCAGCCGCCCUCCUUUGUGCCUGCCACAACAAAUUUAGAAUUUGGUAUACAAAACGUUUUGAACAGCAAUGCCGUCAUAACCUCAACUAAAGCACCUAACUCCAUUUUACCGCCAUUACCGACCCCAACCAGCGUUAGUCCAUCAACCAAUAUGCCAUCUCAACCUAAACAUUCCAAAACUGGGGAGACCAACGUACAAGUUAUAGAUUUAGAUAACUACCGUAGUCCCAGCGAUAUAUUGCUGACGUCACAACAGAUAUUGCGACCGGGCAAUAGUAACACUACAACAACGGCAUUGUCCAACACAAAAACUGCCUUAGUGCUGAAUGCACCAAACCGACGGGAGAGCAGUAGUGAAUCGGAUGGCGUGGAGAUCGUUAGUAUCUACCCCGCUACUGCUAGGUCACAGGUGGGCGCGUCUCAAAAACAGAAAUAUAAGAAGAAUUCGGCUUUGAACUAUUCGGACAACAUGAAAGUGAAUGUAUUCCAAGCCGGUUCGUCAACAACAUUAACAAACAACAAUAAUAAUAGUAACACGAACAACAAUAAUAGUCAAAUCAUCAAGGGUAAACAAUUGGAGCCGUUGAGCGGAGUUUCAAAUUAUGAUAAACAAACUGUUCGGACAUUCAAGGAUCUCGGGGAUUUGCAAAAACAAAAGACUAAUCUAUCAUCACCACAAAAUGGUUCGAAAAAAGAUCACUGCGCUCAAUGACCCGCAGUAGUAUUUGAUGCAGCCGAUUUGAGUAAAAUAUCGGCAGCAGCGCUUUCGUGUUUCGCGCAAGCGCAGUCGGUAGCUAGCGAGGGGUUCUUAACAACCAACACAGUAAGUGGUGUGACGAUGGGAAAACACACAUUUGGCGCUUUGCCACCACUGCCAUUAUUUUUACCAACACAUAUGGAAGUCUCACAACUACCACCACCACCGCCACCACCGUCGUCUGCCUCGGCAAAUAUGCCAGUAGUGUUGAUACAACCGCCUUUACCGACAACAGCAACAACUCCGCCGUCGUCAUCAACACUACCACCAACAAGCCAACAAUCAACAGAUUCGCAACAAAUACAGUCGCGAAUUAGAUUUUAGAAUUUACACAAAUGGAACUUAACAAGAUCAAUAACAUUAAAUGCAUACAACUAAAUAUUCUUUUAGACGAAAUCAUAAUUUGCUAACUUCGCAAAAACGCAUUUGUAUUACACUCACAUAAUGGAGGUGUGAGCACGAGAGUUGAGCAGUUGGCGCCAUUAAAUUAUAGCAAACGUACCAAUUUGUAAUUCAAGUAAUGACGAUAUUCGGCGCACAUACAUAAGUAUCUUCAGCCAACAAACAUGUAUUCGUUACGCGUCCCUUUCAACGGCAGUUCGAUGUACACUUAAUUUAUUAUAACUUUAGUUACGGUUUUUGCAAUUCUAAGACAAUAUGCAAAUAACCCAUUCUACAUACAUACAUAUAAACGUAUCGUAUCUUCAUUCUUAGCAUUUAAGCAUGUGUUUUAUGCUAUUAUUAAGUUAAAUUUAAUCUACUCAACUAGUUUGUGUUAACUUUGUUUGGCCUACAUGCAUUUGUACUAGUUUUUCAUUGCCCGCGCUAUUUAUCAAAUUAUAUUAUAAUUGUAAUAAAUUAGUUGGGCAGAAAUUAUUAAAAAAACACCACUAUUCCUCAUCAAUUAAGCAGCAAAAUUUUUGGAGAAAUGUUCUUUUCUACUUAAGAUAUGUACAUACAUAUGUGGAUCCAAAGGGUCCGGUCUAGUGCAUAAAACAUUCAAUUUGAUUUUUACGUCUGCAAAAAGUUUGAUUACUGAAUAAAAGCAUAUUAUACUGAAAAUCUUUGUUUUCUGUACAUUUUGGGUUCACAACUAUUCGUUAUUCCAGCUCGUUCUUUGUUCAUAAAGGCGGCUUACGAGGGUAUCAGCACACGUCAAUGCUUCAUUUGAUUUGUAUCGAAAAAUUUAUUACAUGCAUACAUGUGUAUAUGUAUCAAAUCUAGAGGAUUUAAUAAAAUUUGUAACUGUAUUAGAUUGAGUUUGUGUGGAGUUCGGUGGAACUGGUUUCUAUGGAAAAUAAAAUUAGACAAUUACAUUUGUCAAAUAUUUUUAGUAUGUACAAGCAUAUAUUUGAAUAAAUUUAUUUUUUUAAUACAAUGAACACCACUUAAAUUUACAUAAUAUUUUUGGAAAAUACAUUUGAAUUCAAAGAAAAAGUGUAAUGCCAAAUCUUGAGAUUUUUUAUUUUUUAUAUUUACAUUUCAUUUAGGCCUUCUUGCGCACGGCUUGUGGUCUGGAAAUAAAAAAGAUAAAUAAUAAUAAAAAUAUUUAAAGAGUUAAAGAUUCUAUUAUUGUGAUAAUCAGCUGUCUAUAUCAAAACCCAUACAGAAUGCAUUUGUCAAAAUUUAGUCAUCAUUAUGUACAUAUGUACAAAGCACGCAAUUUUGUCCUGGUUCAUACUUAAACAACAUCUCUACCUGAAACUUGUCAUUUUAUUUCGCAACUCGAAAACAGACGUCCAAAUAAGUGUUUGAAUCUGCAACCCUGACUGUCAAUUGCAAUAUUUGUGAAAAAAAGACAACAAAAUUUUAGUUACCUAGCCAUUAAAAUAAACUGUAAAUACUUUGUUCAAUAAAAACUGUAUAGUAGUUUUUAAGCCUGUGAGAUAAUAAUUAAAAGUUUACAACAUAUUCUGUAAUAAUAUGGCAAAUGCGUUAAAACGUAUAUAAUAUUACCUGUUGUGUUGAGAGAAAAGGAACUGUGA